rnacentral:rRNA from 1 species
GACGAACGCUGGCGGCGUGCUUAACACAUGCAAGUCGAACGCUGAAGCUCAGCUUGCUGGGUGGAUGAGUGGCGAACGGGUGAGUAACACGUGAGUAACCUGCCCUCUUCUUUGGGAUAACGCCCGGAAACGGGUGCUAAUACUGGAUAUUCACUGAUUCUCGCAUGGGGGUUGGUGGAAAGGUUUUUUCUGGUGGGGGAGGGGUUCGCGGCCUAUCAGCUUGUUGGUGGGGUGAUGGCCUACCAAGGCUUUGACGGGUAGCCGGCCUGAGAGGGUGACCGGUGACGUUGGGACUGAGCUACGGCCCAGACUCCUGCGGGAGGCAGCAGUGGGGAAUAUUGCACAAUGGGCGAAAGCCUGAGGCGGCGACGCCGCGUGAGGGAUGGAGGCCUGCGGGUUGUAAACCUCUUUCGCUCAUGGUCAAGCCGCAGCUUUGGGUUGUGGUGAGGGUAGUGGGUAAAGAAGCGCCGGCUAACUACGUG